rnacentral:rRNA from 1 species
GACGAACGCUGGCGGCGUGCUUAACACAUGCAAGUCGAACGGAAAGGCCCUGCUUUUGUGGGGUGCUCGAGUGGCGAACGGGUGAGUAACACGUGAGUAACCUGCCCUUGACUUUGGGAUAACUUCAGGAAACUGGGGCUAAUACCGGAUAGGAGCUCCUGCUGCAUGGUGGGGGUUGGAAAGUUUCGGCGGUUGGGGAUGGACUCGCGGCUUAUCAGCUUGUUGGUGGGGUAGUGGCUUACCAAGGCUUUGACGGGUAGCCGGCCUGAGAGGGUGACCGGCGACAUUGGGACUAAGAGAGGGACCAGACUGCUACGGGAGGCAGUAGUGGGGAAUAUUGCACAGUGGGCGGGCGCCUGAUGCGGCAGCGCCGGGUGUGGGAUGACGGCCUGUGGGUUGAGAACAGCUUUCGCCUGUGACGAAGCGGGAGUGACGGUAAUGGAUAAAGAAGCACCGGCUAACUACGUG